CCUAAUACAUGCAAGUCGAGCGAACAGAUGAGAAGCUUGCUUCUCUGAUGUUAGCGGCGGACGGGUGAGUAACACGUGGGUAACCUACCUAUAAGACUGGGAUAACUCCGGGAAACCGGGGCUAAUACCGGAUAAUAUUUUGAACCGCAUGGUUCAAUAGUGAAAGACGGUUUCGGCUGUCACUUAUAGAUGGACCCGCGCCGUAUUAGCUAGUUGGUAAGGUAACGGCUUACCAAGGCGACGAUACGUAGCCGACCUGAGAGGGUGAUCGGCCACACUGGAACUGAGACACGGUCCAGACUCCUACGGGAGGCAGCAGUAGGGAAUCUUCCGCAAUGGGCGAAAGCCUGACGGAGCAACGCCGCGUGAGUGAUGAAGGUCUUCGGAUCGUAAAACUCUGUUGUUAGGGAAGAACAAAUUUGUUAGUAACUGAACAAGUCUUGACGGUACCUAACCAGAAAGCCACGGCUAACUACGUGCCAGCAGCCGCGGUAAUACGUAGGUGGCAAGCGUUAUCCGGAAUUAUUGGGCGUAAAGCGCGCGUAGGCGGUUUCUUAAGUCUGAUGUGAAAGCCCACGGCUCAACCGUGGAGGGUCAUUGGAAACUGGGAAACUUGAGUGCAGAAGAGGAGAGUGGAAUUCCAUGUGUAGCGGUGAAAUGCGCAGAGAUAUGGAGGAACACCAGUGGCGAAGGCGGCUCUCUGGUCUGUAACUGACGCUGAUGUGCGAAAGCGUGGGGAUCAAACAGGAUUAGAUACCCUGGUAGUCCACGCCGUAAACGAUGAGUGCUAAGUGUUAGGGGGUUUCCGCCCCUUAGUGCUGCAGCUAACGCAUUAAGCACUCCGCCUGGGGAGUACGACCGCAAGGUUGAAACUCAAAGGAAUUGACGGGGACCCGCACAAGCGGUGGAGCAUGUGGUUUAAUUCGAAGCAACGCGAAGAACCUUACCAAAUCUUGACAUCCUUUGACCGCUCUAGAGAUAGAGUCUUCCCCUUCGGGGGACAAAGUGACAGGUGGUGCAUGGUUGUCGUCAGCUCGUGUCGUGAGAUGUUGGGUUAAGUCCCGCAACGAGCGCAACCCUUAAGCUUAGUUGCCAUCAUUAAGUUGGGCACUCUAGGUUGACUGCCGGUGACAAACCGGAGGAAGGUGGGGAUGACGUCAAAUCAUCAUGCCCCUUAUGAUUUGGGCUACACACGUGCUACAAUGGAUAAUACAAAGGGCAGCGAAUCCGCGAGGCCAAGCAAAUCCCAUAAAAUUAUUCUCAGUUCGGAUUGUAGUCUGCAACUCGACUACAUGAAGCUGGAAUCGCUAGUAAUCGUAGAUCAGCAUGCUACGGUGAAUACGUUCCCGGGUCUUGUACACACCGCCCGUCACACCACGAGAGUUUGUAACACCCGAAGCCGGUGGAGUAACCUUUUAGGAGCUAGCCGUUGAAGGUGGACAAG
rnacentral:rRNA from 1 species